AUUGAACGCUGGCGGCAUGCCUUACACAUGCAAGUCGAACGGUAACGCGGGGCAACCUGGCGACGAGUGGCGAACGGGUGAGUAAUGCAUCGGAACGUGCCCAGUAGUGGGGGAUAGCCCGGCGAAAGCCGGAUUAAUACCGCAUACGACCUAUGGGUGAAAGCGGGGGACCGUAAGGCCUCGCGCUAUUGGAGCGGCCGAUGUCAGAUUAGGUUGUUGGUGGGGUAAAGGCCCACCAAGCCGACGAUCUGUAGCUGGUCUGAGAGGACGACCAGCCACACUGGGACUGAGACACGGCCCAGACUCCUACGGGAGGCAGCAGUGGGGAAUUUUGGACAAUGGGGGCAACCCUGAUCCAGCCAUGCCGCGUGCGGGAAGAAGGCCUUCGGGUUGUAAACCGCUUUUGUCAGGGAAGAAACGCUCUGAGCUAAUACCUCGGGGUAAUGACGGUACCUGAAGAAUAAGCACCGGCUAACUACGUGCCAGCCGCCGCUGUAAAAC
rnacentral:rRNA from 1 species